UUUCUCAUCAUACUUAUUUCUAAAUAUAUCUCUAUUUGUCUGUCCAUCUUCCAAACUGUUUUAGAAACCUACACUUGAGAGCAAUACAGCAUAGGAGGUGACCUCGUUGUAAACAGCAUAUAAAUGAAGGGAAGAUUGUAUCUGCCUCAGAUUAUAAACCCCCAGAGACAGAGAAUGUUCUCAGAGACUUUAUCUCUUGAUGGACACCUGGGCCUGUGCAGGUGUGGUCAAUGCCAUUGAAUACCACCACUUCCCUGGAAACAUCCAAAGAAUACAGCAACUGGUGGACACUGAGGGAGGUGGCAGUGACAGGUCCAGGACCCUGACCAAAUCUUGCUGAGAUAACACCCAGUGGAGAAACAGAUGCAGAAGACAAGCUGACAAGCAUUUGGGUCUUUGAAACCAGCAAGUCUGUCAACACUUCCCUAACAGAACGGGAGGAUAAAUCACAAGAUGAUGGAAGCUUAUUAUCUCUUAUUUGGUGUCUUGUAGUUGAAAAUGUGCGGUGUUUCUGAUGAAUAUAUUCACAGGGCCUUUUUGGUAUAAAAAGAAUCACAGAAGUUAGGACUUCCCUGACAUAAAUAUGUUCAGGGAGCCACUCGCUGGCACCUUUUUGUAUCUGCAUUUAACUCAUGCUCACACCCCUAGAAGGCACAUUCGCAGCUCCAUGGAUUUUUCUGCUCAGGCCCUCAGUGCUCUUGAGGAUUUACAUUAGUGAGACAAAUGGCUAAUUCAGUGCAGCCAAAUGUUGCACAUUUCAUGAUUAAAGACAAGCCUCCCAGGACUGGGCUUCAUUUAUUUCUCCUGAAGUGAAAUAUGUGUGGAUUUAUAUUUUUUCAUUAGUACAUAAAUACAAGCAGUUUAUAAAAUACUGGAGGAAUUAUCAAAGUUAAAUCUCCAAUUUCCAAGACUCUGAAAGGAAUAUUUCUGUUGUUUCUUUUCUCAUAAAAGUACAAGCCACCAUGUAAUGAUGUAAUGGGAAAAAAAUAUAUUUAAUUGCAUUGUUUAAAAGUGAAAUUAAUAGAAUUCAGCAUAUCCAUUCAUUAAUUCAGCUGAAAUUGAACCAUUGGUUUCUGAAAAUUAAAGGCUACUGGCAGAAACUUGUA
rnacentral:lncRNA from 1 species